CCGGCACGGUGAGUAACACGUAUCCAACCUGCCGUCUACUCUUGGACAGCCUUCUGAAAGGAAGAUUAAUACAAGAUGGCAUCAUGAGUCCGCAUGUUCACAUGAUUAAAGGUAUUCCGGUAGACGAUGGGGAUGCGUUCCAUUAGGUAGUAGGCGGGGUAACGGCCCACCUAGUCUUCGAUGGAUAGGGGUUCUGAGAGGAAGGUCCCCCACAUUGGGACUGAGACACGGUCCAA
rnacentral:rRNA from 1 species